rnacentral:piRNA from 1 species
AAGGAAGUAAAGACCUCACCAAACCAU